rnacentral:rRNA from 1 species
CAGCCGCCGGGGAAUACGUAGGGUGCAAGCGUUAAUCGGAAUUACUGGGCGUAAAGCGUGCGCAGGCGGUGAUGUAAGACAGUUGUGAAAUCCCCGGGCUCAACCUGGGAACUGCAUCUGUGACUGCAUCGCUGGAGUGCGGCAGAGGGGGAUGGAAUUCCGCGUGUAGCAGUGAAAUGCGUAGAUAUGCGGAGGAACACCGAUGGCGAAGGCAAUCCCCUGGGCCUGCACUGACGCUCAUGCACGAAAGCGUGGGGAGCAAACAGGAUUAGAUACCCCGGUAGUCCCUGUCUCUUAUACC